rnacentral:rRNA from 1 species
UACAGAGGGUGCGAGCGUUGUCCGGAAUCACUGGGCGUAAAGGGCGCGUAGGUGGUGGCUUAAGCGUGCGGUGAAAGCUCGGGGCUCAACUCCGAGUCGGCCGUGCGAACUGGGCUCACUGGAGCAUAGUAGAGGCAGGUGGAAUUCCGGGUGGAGUGGUGAAAUGCGUAGAUAUCCGGAGGAACACCGAAGGCGAAGGCAGUGUCCUGGCUGGUCCCUGACGCUGAGGGGCGAAAGCUAGGGGAGCGAACGGG